CAAACCAUCAUAGAUGAAGGAUGUUUAGAACAGAAGUUGUGGGAGAAGAAAAUAAGCCCCAGAGAUAUUCUGAGAACAAGGGUGAGAGCUCAGGAUCUACCAGGACAAGUAGAGGGUCCUUCCUUGAAGCCCUUCAGCAGGGGACAGCUGCUCCUCUCCCGCCGGGCCUGGCCGACCUCGGGGGUGCACAGGGUGACUCACAAGGCCUGUUGCACAGGGUGACCUCACAAGGCCUAUUGACUGGCAUCUGGCGUGUCUACCUCUGACCAGGCAGCACUUUCUCUGGUCCUCCUGGGUCCAGGAGGAGAUUAACCCAGCAGCCACCCAGCAUGGGUUGAGACCUGCUUUGCUGAGGGUGCCCCGGAAGUCACAAAGCAGGAUGACUCCCGUUUCGAUUCACGGAGCCUGAAGCCUAAACGGGGAUCCAGGACAGACAGACAUCAAAAGAUGAGGAGGGACAAGACCAUCUUCAAUUUAUUUGCAACUUUACCUAAUUUUAAAAUGAGGAGACCGAGGCAUAGAGAGUGUAGAUGGUUUGCCUACAAUCAGAGCUAGAACAUACCCAGCACCUGAGCCAGAAUAGAAUCCCAGUAUUUCUACCUGGGACACUUAGGACACCCAGCUGUUCUCCACUCAGAGUCACAACCUGUUUGGACCACAUCUAUUUCUGAGUGCCUGACUACAAGGUGGAUGGUGUAUUAAUAUAGAUCAACCCUGUCCUCUCCCAAGAAGACCUUCCUUUCAGAGACACAUCCUAUCCGGGCACACAGACUACAAAGCAAUUCCUCUGCCCUCCUACUGCCUCUACACCAAAUCUCACAUUUGUGACUUCCUGAGCGCCUCUCCGAUGUCUCCUUUGCUCCACAUUCCAACUGCCUUGGACUCCCAACAGGCUGCCAUCGAAUCAUAACUGUGUUUCGGCACCAGUGUCCUUAUUCAGUGGAUAGCCGCCAGAAUAAUGUUUUCCCCUUUGUAUUAUAUCCUACACAGCAACAGGCAACAGAAACAGGCUGAUAUGGAAACUCCCAUGCUCCUGACUCCUGGCACAGCAACACAGCCUCCCUGGCAAACCCUGGCUGGUCACUGCAGCUGCCCCAUAUGCCAAGGUCAUUUGCUGGAACCAUUUGCUGGCUUAUUUGCAGGCUGCCAGAACCCAAGUGAGAGAAUUGGAGCCCUCAAAUCAAAGCACAGCCAUAAAAUAGAAACAUGGGGAAGAACUACAGCUGUGCCUGAGUAUGGAGCAGACUUUGUCAAAGAGAAGAAUGAACGAUCGGCCUUGCUUUGAUGUGGCCUUCCUCUGGAACUUCCUCACAAGGACACCUGGCCUUGAAAAUGCAUGAAACUACAGCCUUCCAGGACUCGUGAGAAAACAUGAGCCUCUGGGAGGCCUUGACCAAUUCACCAGCCAGACCUUCUUCCCCGGCACGUCACGUUUGGCACCCAGGGACUCCCAAGCCCGGUCAUCAUCUGGAAGUUGCAAUGAGUUUACCCCAAAGACCCAGGCUGGGCAAAGGGGGUUCUGUUCUACUGGUGCUGGUGACCGUUGGCCCUGCUGUGCAGAUUUCAUUUUUUAAGGAGAGAUUUUUAAGCUUUGUUUGCAUUCGUCUGGUGACAGAACUGAACUGAAGAGCUCCGUUGGGAUCAAUAAACAUGUAUCCGCCUGGCUUGCUAGCACCAGGCACUGGACUGGCCUGGGGAUUUGAGGCCAAGUGAGGAGCCAUCUAGAGCAAAGGACAGCCACACAAACAGGGCACAAAAGCCCCAUUAACACUGUCGCACUGGUCAGUAAUUGCCUGGGGCUUUUCUUCUGCAGAGCCCCGGGGUGGGACCUGAGUGAGGAUUUCACUCCUGCUCUCCCUCCCUUGCUUCUCCAUCUUUUGUUUGUUUGUUUUCUUCCAUGGGCAGAACACACAGACACUGAAGUCUGGAAUUCUGGAAGCUUGUGGUUCCCAACAGGAGGAUGGUCUGUGGAAGCAGUAUGCUUGUUAGUAACACACUCCAAAUCUCUGGUGCCUGUAAGACUAUGAGCCUCCAGGAGGUUGGUCUGUUCACGCCAAACACUUUUCAGGGAAUAACUCAGCAUCCAUUAGGAUGCUUUUAGAAGAGUGGAAAUGGCCCAUUUCCCCCCGAAGAUCUACUGCAGGGGCGAGGGAGAGUGCAAUGUCUCAGCAGCCUGUCUUCAACCAUUGCUAAAGGCCCAAGCAGAGCUGUACAAAAUCCAGGGGACCCACCCAGCUUUAGGGAUCUUGGCACACCUCUCAGGGGUUUCAGUCAUCUGUUCCUGCCUCUCACGGUCCCACAAGGUCUGCAGUCCCUGAACUGUACCGUCCACCCAAACCUCACAAAUCUGCCCCUACUGCAUGGAAACCUUGGGGAGGUGCCCAGCCUCUCCUGGGAUGACCGUGGCAGUCGGCACCCAGGGCUCCCCCUUGGAACUCUCUGCCCCCUCUUUCUGGGCCCCAUAGACAGUGAACUUAUCUAGAGCUCUGCCUCCCGCACUUAAACUGAAGAUUUCCUGAUUUAA